CCCCCAGCAGUUGACUAUUCUGGCCACCAUCGAUGUUGGCGGAGGGUGGAUGGGUUGUCGUCGCGCCGCCGUCGGCUAAUUGGAGACAUACCAUUGCUGGGGGCUCGAUUGGUGCACGGUGGGGUUCGGAGAUAUGCAGGGAAGCUUAUGGGGGCGUCAGGGGAGAGCGAAGGACCCUGUAGCCGCCGGAAUUGCUCUCUGAUGCCUCUGCUCCGCCGUGGGCCGUGCUGCACCGUGGCCGGUGCCCUCCACGUCGCGAUAACCGGUGAGACUUAUCUCUUUGUGCUCGUGAUCAUCAAGGCUCAGUGUAGCAACGUUCGAAUUGAAGAUUCGUCCGGGUUAUGGAUUUUUGCGGUGGGGAUCGGCCAUGGCACCGCUGCGUAAGAACUGGUGGCGCAGCCGUCCUCAGAUCGGUAGGUAGGAGACGACCAUCUGGCCGUUCAAUUUGUGAUGGGCGGCCCAGAUUUGUGCUAGUGAAUCGAUUGGAAUCGGCUGUUGUGGGCUGUCCGAUCUGAUCGGAGGGAUAGGAUUAACUCUCGUUUCAUAAAACCUCGGUCGUGGAUUCUGAAUCCAAGGAUUGCGAUGGCGUACCGGUUCACCUAGUGAAGAUCUAAUCGGUGCCAUCAAUUCCGGAUCCAACGGCUCAGCCAUGACCAUACCGCUUCACCAUGGACUAUUUGCAUAUGAGCCCCUAGAUUUAUUCAGAAACAACCCGCACUCCACUCUGUGGGGAAUCCUGAGUCUUGGGGAGAUUUGCGAGUUAGCCCCUGCACUCCUCUGUUUUUAUGCGCGCAGUCCAGACUCAUAGGAAAAUUCAGAAAUUCAAUUAGAAAAUGAUUUUUAGUAUAUAAAUAAUUCCAGAAACUCAUUUUAUUCAUAGAAAAUUCAUACUAACUCCUUUUAGUCCAUUCCAGUUCCUAUAAUUUUAUACUUAGUAACUGCUAAUAAAAUUUUGACCAACUUUAAAAGCAAUGCUCAGCUCUAACCAUCGUCUUUGGUAAGCCUUACACUUCACGUGAGCUCCCACCUUUGGCGAGUUCAUGCACAUUAUUCCCCACAACUUGUUGAGCUAUGAACGUAUGUGAGCUCACUCUUGCUGUCUCACACCCCCCACAGAUCAAGAACAGGUAUCACAGGAUGAGGUGCAUGGAGGAUGCUGUGAUGAGUUCGUGAGUGGUCUAGGCCGUCGUCUCACAGUCAACUUUGGGUUGCUGGACCGUUGUCUCCUUAUAAUGUAAUUAUUUAUUUAUUUUGUAUAGAACUCCUGUUAUAUAGUAAAGAUGUGACAUUCGAUCCUGUGCCAUGAUUCAUCAUAUGUGUGAGACUUGGUCCUAGCACACCUGGUGAUUAUGUUCGCGCCAGGGUCUUGGUGCCCCAAAAUCCGAGUGUGACAGAAGUGGUAUCAGAGGAAUGUUGACUGUAGGACGAAACCUAGAUAGAACUGGAUAACCCUUAUCUACUUACCUUUACUACUCUGAUUCUUUCUAAACUUUUCUUAAUCUUUUCCCAUCGAUUUCCGCUUUACUCUGAUUAUUCUUGCCUUUUUCCUUCUAAAGACAAAUGUGGAUUUCACACUUCGAAAUCCUGUGCCUAAAAGUGACCUUUAGGAAUAGGAGACCUAAUCUUAGGAACAAAAACAAAAAUAUUUUUUUAAUCUCUAUGAACUUGAAUGUUUGUUCUUAUGAUACUUGUCUGAUUUGGAUCUUCGAUUGAGUGUGAUUAGUUGUGGAGUAAUGUCCACAAUUACAUCUGCAUAUACAUAUAGAAAAAAUGCUUAUAAAAGUAACUAGACAAAUUAGAUUAUCCCUCAUUAAAAAAAUGUAUCUAGCUUGAUAGAUUCAUCCUAUCUUAAAAGAUUCUAUCCUACACUCAUAGAUCUAUCUUAUCUCAAAAGAUCCUAACUGAUCCUAAUGUAUCUAGAUCCAUCUUAUCUUGAAAAGAUUUUAUCUCAUCUUAAUAUAUCUAACUAACCUCAAAGGAUUCUACCUUAUCCUUAUGGAUUCAUCUUGCCCUAAUUAGCAUAUUUAUCCCACUCUAGAAUAACAACCGUGAGCUAAUCCAAAAUUUAUUUAGAUCUUAUCUACUCUAAAAUAGUCAUAUCAAUUUAUACUAAAUCUGAUCCAACCUAAUAGGUUAAUCUAACCUGAUGAAGUCUAACCUUAAGUUGAGCUAACCUAAGGACAGUCACUUAACAAGUUAACACUAGUGAAAUAAACUGGAUCCUACUCCUAUCAACCUUGUUCUCCCCUCAUGCACUUAAACCUAAACUAGCGCAUUAGACCAACUCAACCAUGAGCAUAAGAGCUAAUCCAACCAUUAGAGUCAUGAUGGAUUGCAUAAUCUAUCUGUGCCAACCCAAUGUCAAACAAGAUUUUUGUCUACAUCAUGUAGUCUAUCUCAUCCAUGUCUAUCUUAACCAUCUUCCUCGACCCCGAUGAUAUACACUAACCUCGAAUCAAUGAGACUAAGAUUGGAAAAGGAAAAGAGCAACCUCGUCAAGGAAGCAGAUGGGUCAAAUUCAACUUUGAAAGGAAUCAAGAUCCAUAGUUCUGGAUGAAGCCUUUCUUUAUUAUACUCUUCCUUGCCACAACCUAUACUUGCCAUAACUGUACCUCAUCUGACAUAAUAAAUGGCUAGACAUAUAUAUCCAUAUUUUCCAAAUCAUCUACUAACGUGUAUAAAAAAAGCUCCAAACAUAACUUUUGAUUCCUAAACCAAAUGAGAAACUAUAUUUCAAACCAAACCUAUUGUAUCCCUUUUCUUACAAAUCUCGAGGACGAGAUUUAUGUUAAGGGGGGUAGGAUUUGUAACACCCUAAAGUUCGAUCUUGUGAAAUUAAGGAAAAAUUUCCCAAGGGUUUUCAAUCAAAACACCUUUCCUUAAAUAAUAUUCAUAAUUUCAAAAGUUACUACCCCAAAUUAAUAUAAAUUUUUUUUAUAAAUUAAAGUAUUCUUGGAUUGAAAUUAUAAUAAGAAUUAUGAUUAAACUAUUCCUUAAUAUAUAAUCUACAAUAUAAUUUAUAUUUCACUAAAAUGUAAACUUGAGUUUGGUUUUUGAAAAUAGAAAUCAGAAAAAAUAGGAGAAAAGAAAAAAAAGAAGAAGAAAGUCUUACCUCGUUGGGCCAAAUCCCUUUAGCUCGGCCCACUCCACUAUUUCCCUCUCCACGCGGCCCAACCCCACGUCCACUCUGGUGCGCGCUAAACCCUGGAUUCCAGCGCUGGCAUCUGGGCCCCGCUUGCCAGCCAUUGUGCCACACACGCAUCUGCUUAUUGGUAUGUCACCGCCCCUGGGUCCACUGGCCAGACUCCCCUAGCCGCGCGUGUACCUUUCGUUUUGUCACCGCCAAGUGGGCCCCAUCGGUCGGAAGCAUCCCCAUAACAGAAUCUCUCUGAACUUGACCGCGAAACACGGAGUCCGUCCGUGGUGCUCGGCACCUCCUGGCCGGAAUCCUUUGCCUCCCAAGAAUAAAUGUGUGGCCACCACGAACCCUGGACCCAACCAAUCGGGUGUUACCCCCAGCAGUUGACUAUUCUGGCCACCAUCGAUGUUGGCGGAGGGUGGAUGGGUUGUCGUCGCGCCGCCGUCGGCUAAUUGGAGACAUACCAUUGCUGGGGGCUCGAUUGGUGCACAGUGGGGUUCGGAGAUAUGCAGGGAAGCUUAUGGGGGCGUCAGGGGAGAGGGAAGGACCCUGUAGCCGUCGGAAUUGCUCUCCGAUGCCUCUGCUCCGCCGCGGGCCGUGCUGCACCGUGGCCGGUGCCCUCCACGCCGCAAUAACCGGUGAGACUUAUCUCUUUGUGCUCGUGAUCAUCAAGGCUCAGUGUAGCAAGGUUCGAAUUGAAGAUUCGUCCGGGUUAUGGAUUUUUGGGGUGGGGAUCAGCCAUGGCAUCGCCGCGUAAGCACUGGUGGCGCAGCCGUCCUCAGAUCGGUAGGUAGGAGACGACCAUCUGGCCGUUCAAUUUGUGAUGGACAACCCAGAUUUGUGCUAGUGAAUUGAUUGGAAUCGGCUGUUGUGGGCUGUCCGAUCUGAUCGGAGGGAUAGGAUUAACUCUCGUUUCAUAAAACCUCGGCCGUGGAUUCUGGAUCCAAGGAUUGCGAUGGCGUACCGGUUCACCUAGUGAAGAUCUAAUCGGUGCCAUCAAUUCCGGAUCCAACGGCUCAGCCACGACCAUACCGCUUCACCAUGGACUAUUUGCAUAUGAGCCCCUAAAUUUAUUCAGAAACAACCUGCAGUCCACUCUGUGGGGAAUCCUGAGUCUUGGGGAGAUUUGCGAGUUAGCCCCUGCACUCCUCUGUUUUUAUGCGCGCAGUACAGACUCAUAGGAAAAUUCAGAAAUUCAAUUAGAAAAUGAUUUUUAGUAUAUAAAUAAUUCCAGAAACUCAUUUUAUUCAUAGAAAAUUCAUACUAACUCCUUUUUAGUCCAUUCCAGUUCCUAUAAUUUUAUAAUAAUGUUGUUUAUCACAUAGUGACACUGUUUUAACAUGAAAAUGGUAUUAAAAUUGAUUUCUUAAUUAAUCUCGUAUUAAAUACGUAAAACCAUCAGAAAUUCAUAACUCCUCCAUUUUAACUCCGAUUUGAUCCGUUCCAGUUGCGUUAGCUUCGUAUAAAUAUUUACUACGCAGUAACAACAUUUAUUAUACCAAUCCCAUUAUUUUAUGAUUAGAACUUUACUUAACUCAUGUGGGUUAGUCUUGUUAAUGUGCUCAUCAUUAUCUACCAAAAUAUAAUUUGUGGUAAAUUUAUAACCUAGAUUAAAGUGGAGAUAAUUAUUUAUAGAAUAAUCUCUUAUAAGAUUUAUAGUAACCAAUUUAUAAUAUAGUUUAAUAUUUUAAUCACACAGAUCUUCUAUAAAAUCAUAACUCCUUAACCGUAACUCCGAUCUUAGUAGCUCUCGAUCCCACGAUCUCGUAGCAACGCGUAAAUUAUUAUUAUUCAGUUUAUUCUUAUGUUUGGUGUGAUGUUAAUUUUGCUUAUACCAUGUUUGUUUGUAUUGAUACUACUAGAGCGAGGUCACGAGUCAUCUGAAGAGCAAGCUGGUACCUGGAAUCUCUAGUGCCAGGCAAGUUGUGCCCUUGAUCACUUCUUUUUACCCACUCAUGUUCUAAUUAAUCAUAAUGAUCUACAUAGGUUAAUUUUGAUGGGACCCAAUAGGUUACCCUAGUUUGUCUAUCUUUAUACCUUGUUUUACCACUCAAUAUUUUUGGGUAGUACUUGCUAGUGCUAUAUGUGGUUUUGGGUAUGGAGAUACAUUGUUCAUGAUCAUACUUUAUUAUCAGUUGUUAUUUACUGUUCAUGACAAGAUCAUUAUGAUAAUUGGAACAUGGAGCGACCACCCGGAAAAACAGUGCUACCACAAGGGUUUAAUGGGACGCCCUUGGCUGAUUAAUUAGGAAAGUUAGUGGAAGACUACCUUACCCAAAAGGGGCAAGGGCAGUAGGGGAGUGGUCAGUGUAGGGAGGCCCUUGGGAUGAUUUUGCUGCGAUGGCGGUCAUGCGAGGGGUCCCUGCAUUGAAGCUUCCUAUAAACUAUAGCGGGUUUUCUGAAGCUAGUGGAACUUUGUAAAGGCCUCGUAGUGUUACCCUGCCUCGCCUCCUCGGUAGAGGUGUAUGGGAAGUCGCGAUCCCUUGGCAGAUGGGUAACAUGACUUGUGGGUAAAGAUGUGCAACCUCUGCAGAGUAUAAAACUGGUAUACUAGCCGUGCUCACGGUCAUGAGCAGCUCAGACCCUCACAUGAUUAAAUUAUGGAACUAAAUUCAAUUUGUCAUAUGCAUUGCAUCGCAGGUGAGGUUGUUACUUUUGUUCUACUACUUAAUUGGGUUUGGUAUUUACUUAUACUUAGUAACUGCUAAUAAAAUUUUGACCAACUUUAAAAGCAAUGCUCAGCUCUAACCAUCCUCUUUGGUAAGCCUUACACUUCACGUGAGCUCCCACCUUUGGCAAGUUCAUGCACAUUAUUCCCCACAACUUGUUGAGCUAUGAACGUAUGUGAGCUCACUCUUGUUGUCUCACACCCCCCACAGGUCAAGAACAGGUAUCACAGGAUGAGGUGCAUGGAGGAUGCUGUGAUGAGUUCGUGAGUGGUCUAGGCCGUCGUCUCCCAGUCAACUUUGGGUUGCUGGACCGUU
rnacentral:lncRNA from 1 species